GACGCUGGCACUUGAGUUUUGUGGCCUCGGCACGGUGGGCAGAGGGCUGGCCCGGAGCUGUCCCGGGGUGGGCACCGGCACUAGCCUAGAGCUGGCUCUCGUGUCCUGCGUGGAGUGGCCUUGGUGGAGAGAGAAAGUGAGCCCUCACUUCGGAAGAUGCCAGAAGCUGGGAGCAGCUGGCUGGGUUCAGGCUGGUCUCACCUGCCCGGUGCAUCAGGACCCGGCCUGGCCAAGCUGAUGCGAAGAGUUCCUUUGGUGACCAAAUGGCGAUGGGAAAAGCCAGCAUUAAUUGAACACGUCUCCCAGGGUGACAGUCAGGGCCGCUGGAGAGGACAGGCUUGUGCUGGAGCCCCAGGGCAGGCCCCUGCAGCACCCCUACCGGGCCUCUCGCCAUCGCCGUCCCCCAGGCCCAUGCCCACCGUGGAUUCCUGGUCUCUGAUUCCUCACGUACAAGGUCAGGGUAGACAGGACGGCUGGUGACCAUCCCCCGGGCUGGCCGGAGGGCCUGGGAGGAGGAGCUUCCCGUCGAUGGCGGUGGAUUCUCCCGGGAGCCCAGAGUCACCACCCCGCAGAGGGUUUGGAUGGGAGGAGUGGAGGCGCUGGGAGCCAUCUGGGUACGUCACGCUGUUGAUCCUUGGUCUCCUGCGCCUCGGAUGUCCGCGUGCUGCCCACCCCCUUCCCCUCUUCUCCAUUCUCACGACCACCCCAUGUUGCAGGCCCUGCCUGAGCAUAACCAGUGCCAGGUUUCCAGGUGGUCUUCCAGCCCCGUGGCUCUCCAACUCCAUCCCCAGCGCCGCAUCUCCUGUCUCCCUCCAGCUCUGCUCACCACCCUCUCCUGUCCGCUCUGGGCCCUCGGAAGCUCACCUCUUCCCACCGCGUCAAUGGCUCCCCUGGUUCUGUGGAUGGGGGCUCAGCAGGAAGUCAGAGUGAGGGCCAAGGGUGAGGUGAGGGGCUCCCCAGGCUGGCUGCGUCCCUCCCUGCCCUGCCCCUCACGAGCCCUGUGACUGUAGGCAAGUCACAAGCUCUCUGGCCUUAAGUGGGAAUACUAAUACUCUCUGCCUCAUAGGGCGGCUUGCGGGUUAAAUGAGAUGGUGCAAGGAAACAUCUAGAAAAGUGCCUGGU